rnacentral:rRNA from 1 species
UACGGGGGGGGCAAGCGUUGUUCGGAAUUACUGGGCGUAAAGGGCUCGUAGGUGGCCAACUAAGUCAGACGUGAAAUCCCUCGGCUUAACCGGGGAACUGCGUCUGAUACUGGAUGGCUAGAGAUUGGGAGAGGGAUGCGGAAUUCCAGGUGUAGCGGUGAAAUUCGUAGAUAUUAGGAAGAACACCAGUGGCGAAGGCGGCUCACUGGUCCGGUACUGACGCUGAGGUGCGAAAGCGUGGGGAGCAAACAGG